UCCAGGUACGUAAGCACACAUGAAGAAAACAACCACUGACAAGACCUCACUGGGAUUUGACUUGGCAUACGGACCUGGGACUUCCAGUCUGUCGAACUAUGAGGAAAUCAACAUUGAUUAACCAAGGCAUGGAUCAGAAAUCUUGGUGGGAAAAGUCAGCAUCUCGACAAGACAGCAGCAACAGGUCUGAUUGCAUGCCGCCAUGCUUCCUGCCAUGACAAUAAGAAACCAAACCUCUGAAACUGUAAGCCAGCCCACUUAAAUGUUUUUCUUCAUAAGAGUUGCUAUAGUCAUGGUGUAUCUUUACAAUAGAAAGCCCAACUAAGACAGAAGUGGUAUUUGGAGCUCAAGGGAGAGCUAGCCAAGUUGAAAUGAUGAGCUCUAAAAUCACAGAGAGACCAUGUCACGCACACAUAGGAAUUGGUGAAGAGUAACUGAGUAAGAUCUACAGAUGUAGUCUGCACACCAUACACACACACACA